rnacentral:rRNA from 1 species
GGAUAACCGUGGUAAUUCUAGAGCUAAUACAUGCUAAAAAUCCCGACUCACGAAGGGAUGUAUUUAUUAGAUUAAAAACCAAUGCCCCUCGGGGCUUUCUGGUGAUUCAUAAUAACUUCUCGAAUCGCAUGGCCUUGCGCCGGCGAUGGUUCAUUCAAAUUUCUGCCCUAUCAACUUUCGAUGGCAGGGUCUUGGCCUGCCAUGGUUACAACGGGUAACGGAGGGUUAGGGCUCGACCCCGGAGAAGGAGCCUGAGAAACGGCUACUACAUCCAAGGAAGGCAGCAGGCGCGCAAAUUACCCAAUCCCGACACGGGGAGGUAGUGACAAUAAAUACUGAUACAGGGCUCUUUUGGGUCUUGUAAUUGGAAUGAGUACAAUUUAAAUCCCUUAACGAGGAACAAUUGGAGGGCAAGUCUGGUGCCAGCAGCCGCGGUAAUUCCAGCUCCAAUAGCGUAUAUUAAAGUUGUUGCAGUUAAAAAGCUCGUAGUUGAACCUUGGGCCUGGCUGGCCGGUCCGCCUCACCGCGUGCACUGGUUCGGCCGGGCCUUUCCCUCUGGGGAGCCCUAUGCCCUUCACUGGGUGUAGUGGGGAACCAGGACUUUUACUGUGAAAAAAUUAGAGUGUUCAAAGCAGGCCUAUGCUCGAAUACAUCAGCAUGGAAUAAUAGAAUAGGACGUGUGGUUCUAUUUUGUUGGUUUCUAGGACCGCCGUAAUGAUUAAUAGGGACAGUCGGGGGCAUCAGUAUUCAAUUGUCAGAGGUGAAAUUCUUGGAUUUAUUGAAGACUAACUACUGCGAAAGCAUUUGCCAAGGAUGUUUUCAUUAAUCAGAAACGAAAGUUAGGGGAUCGAAGACGAUCAGAUACCGUCGUAGUCUUAACCAUAAACUAUGCCGACUAGGGAUCGGACGAUGUUAUUUUUUGACUCGUUCGGCACCUUACGAGAA